GGGCAGCCCCAGGGCAGGGCGGCUCCGGGCUGGUGCUGAGCUCGGGCUGGGAUUGAAUUCCAGCCUUGUACCAGCCCUGGGAGCAUCCCGAGCUCUGGAAUGAACCAGAGCCAGCCACGCCUGGCUGCCAAGCAGGGAGAUCCUGCAGGGAGAUGGGAAUCUGCUCCUUCAUCCCUGCAAGGAUGGGAAUCUGCUCCUUCAUCCCUGCAAGGAUGGGAAUCUGCUCCUUCAUCCCUGCAGAGAUGGAAUCUGCUCCUCCAUCCCUGCAGGGAUGGGAAUCUGCUCCUCCAUCCCUGCAAGGAUGGGAAUCUGCUCCUGCAUCCCUGCAGGAAUGGGAAUCUGCUCCUCCAUCCCUGCAGAGAUGGGAAUCUGCUCCUCCAUCCCUGCAGGGAUGGGAAUCUGCUCCCUCAUCCCUGCCAGGAGACCCUGGAGACCUCGGUGCUGAGGGAAGCUCCAGGGGCUCCUCAUUCCAGGUGGCUCCUUGAGGAGUUCCACCCAGGAUUUUGCUGGCUUUUCAAGUUCUUCCCAGCUGGAACUGGAACUGGGUUGGGAAUGUGUGGGGGAUGCUCUGGUGCAACCAAGAGCUCCCAGUUUGGUGGCUCGGGGUCGGUGAUCCCAAGGAUCCCAAAUCCAGAGGAUUAUUCCUUGCCCGAGAAGGGGAUUUGCUUCCUCCAGCUGUGGAAGUGGUAAUGAUUAAAAAUAAAAAGUAUUUUUUUAAACACUGAAUUAAUUUCUAAACUGCCUAAGAGAGACUUUAUAGCUACACCUGAGUUCUUCCCCAGGGCUGUGCCCAGCACAGGAGCUCUCCCUCAUCCUGGUGAGGCUGUGCUGGGAUCAGCAGAGGCAUGGGGAAAAAAAACUCCUGAAUUGUUCAGAGGACAGGGGGAGGUCCAUGUCCCACCAAAAUCCUUGGAGAGGGAGGAUCUUGAGUGGUUCCCAGACCUCUCUCCCCCCUCAGAACAAGGGAGGAUGACCUUCACUCCUGGUGGAGAAUCUGACUUUUCAGAGACACUUCGUUUCGUAUUUUUUUUUUUUUUAACACAGAAAAAAUAAGGCUCUUAACACACACAAGAAAACCUGAACCUGAUUUAUAAUUUUGUUACAUUUGGUUGCUUUAAAAAAAGCUGUUUUACUAAUUUAAAUAUUGCUGUAGAUGACACUAUAUUUAUUUGAAAGGGGUAAAUAUCUUUUAGUCUUAAUUCUUCUCCAGUAAGCGCUGUGUAUUCCCAAUGUUUGUGUUCCUGGCAGCACAGGAAUUCCACUGACUGAGGGCUGGGCAGCCAGCAGCUCCUGAAUCCAAUGGCCUUGGACAACAAGAUGUCUCUUGCAAUGUAAUUUUUUUUUUUUUUUGUAGUAUUUCUUGAUUCUUUUAUGUCUGUGGUUUAACAAAUCUGUUCAAUGUUUGGGUUGUUCUAUGUUUUGGGUUGUUUUGUUUUGUUUUUUAACAAAGAAAGCUGAAUU
rnacentral:lncRNA from 1 species